GAUGAACGCUAGCGAUAGGCUUAACACAUGCAAGUCGAGGGGCAGCAUUAUUUUAGCUUGCUAAGAUAGAUGGCGACCGGCGCACUGGUGCGUAACGCGUAUGCAACCUGCCUGUAAUUAGGGAAUAACCCGGUGAAAGUCGGAUUAAUACCCUAUAUUCUUCUUUCUCCGCAUGGAGGAGGACGGAAAGAUUUAUUGAUUACAGAUGGGCAUGCGUCCCAUUAGCUAGUUGGUAAGGUAACGGCUUACCAAGGCAACGAUGGGUAGGGGGACUGAGAGGUUGACCCCCCACACUGGUACUGAGACACGGACCAGACUCCUACGGGAGGCAGCAGUGAGGAAUAUUGGUCAAUGGGCGAGAGCCUGAACCAGCCAAGUCGCGUGAAGGACGACGGUUCUAGUGGAUUGUAAACUUCUUUUGUAGAGGAAUAAUGGCAGCUACGCGUAGCUGAGGAUGCAUGUACUCUACGGAAUAAGUAUCGGCUAACUCCGUGCCAGCAGCCGCGGUAAUACGGAGGAUGGGCGAGCGUUGAUCCGGAAUUGAUUGGGUUUAAAGGGUGCGUAGGUGGCGUAUUAAGUCAGUGGUGAAAAGCUGCAGCUCAACUGUAGUCUUGCCGUUGAAACUGAUAUGCUAGGAGAGGAGACGGAGGUAUGCGGAAUGUGUGGUGUAGCGGUGGAAAUGCAUAGGAUAUCACACAGGAACGCCGGAUUGCGGAAGGCAGCGUUACCAGGGCUCCGUUCUGACACUGGAAGCACGGAAAGCGUGGGGGAUCAAACAGGGAUUAGAUACCCUGGUUAGUCCACGCAGUAAGCGAUGAAUACUAGAUUUUUGCGAUAUAGUGUAAGAGUCUAAGCGAAAGC
rnacentral:rRNA from 1 species